GAUGAAGAACGUAGUGAAAUGCGAUACGUAAUGUGAAUUGCAGAAUUCAGUGAAUCAUCGAAUCUUUGAACGCAUAUUGCGCUCUCUGGUAUUCCGGAGAGCAUGCUUGUUUGAGUAUCAGUAAACACCUCAACUCCCUUUUCUUUUUUGAAAUGGGAGCUGGACUUGAGUGAUCCCAACACUUUUCUCACUGGAAAGUGGCGGGUCACUUGAAAUGCAGGUGCAGCUGGACUUUUCUCUGAGCUAUAAGCAUAUCUAUUUAGUCUGCCUAAAAAACAGAUUAUUACCUUUGCUGCAGCUAACAUAAAGGAGAUGAGUUCUUGUGCUGACUGAUGCAGGAUUCACAGAGACAGCUUUGCGGCUGACUUUGUAAACUCGAUCUCAAAUCAAGUAAGACUACCCGCUGAACUUAAGCAUAUCAAUAAGCGGAGGA
rnacentral:misc_RNA from 1 species